GACGAACGCUGGCGGCGUGCUUAACACAUGCAAGUCGAACGGACAGGCCCUGCUUGCAGGGUACUCGAGUGGCGAACGGGUGAGUAACACGUGGGUGAUCUGCCCUGCACUUCGGGAUAAGCCUGGGAAACUGGGUCUAAUACCGGCUAGGAACCAUUUUUAGUGUGAUGGUUGGAAAGUUUUUCCGGUUUAGGAUGAGCUCGCUGCCUAUCGGCUUGUUGGUGGGGUAAUGGCGUACCAAGGCGGCGACGGGUAGCCGGCCUGGGGGGCUGGACGGCGACCUUGGCUCUUAGGGGCGGCCCAGGCUGCGACUGGUGGCAGCUGUGGGGAAGCUUGCACAAUGGGCGCCACCCGGGUGCAGCGAGGCCGCGUGGGGGAUGACGGCCUUCUGGUUGUAAACUCCUUUCGCUAGUGACGAAGCUUUUUGUGACGGUACCUAGAUAAGAAGCACCGGCUAACUACGUG
rnacentral:rRNA from 1 species